UACGUAGGGUGCAAGCGUUGUCCGGAAUCAUUGGGCGUAAAGCGCUCGUAGGUGGCUUCUUAAGUCCGUUGUGAAAGUCAAAGGCUCAACCUUUGAAUGCCGAUGGAUACUGCGAAGCUAGAGUACGGAAGAGGCGAGUGGAAUUCCUGGUGUAGCGGUGGAAUGCGCAGAUAUCAGGAGGAACACCAAUAGCGAAGGCAGAUCGCUGGGACGUUACUGACACUAAGGCGCGAAAGCGUGGGGAGCGAACAGG
rnacentral:rRNA from 1 species